CCUACGGGAGGCAGCAGUGAGGAAUAUUGGUCAAUGGGCGAGAGCCUGAACCAGCCAAGUCGCGUGAGGGAGUACUGCCCUAUGGGUUGUAAACCUCUUUUGUCGGGGAGCAAAAGCCGGACGUGUCCGGCUGUGAGAGUACCCGAAGAAAAAGCAUCGGCUAACUCCGUGCCAGCAGCCGCGGUAAUACGGAGGAUGCGAGCGUUAUCCGGAUUUAUUGGGUUUAAAGGGUGCGCAGGCGGAUUUUUAAGUCAGCGGUAAAAUCGUGGGGCUCAACCCCAUCCAGCCGUUGAAACUGGGGAUCUAGAGUGUGCGAGAGGUAUGCGGAAUGCGUGGUGUAGCGGUGAAAUGCAUAGAUAUCACGCAGAACCCCGAUUGCGAAGGCAACAUACCGGUGCACAACUGACGCUCAGGCACGAAAGCGUGGGUAUCGAACAGGAUUAGAUACCCUAGUAGUC
rnacentral:rRNA from 1 species